rnacentral:tRNA from 1 species
GGAGAGUUGCAGGAGUGGUUGAACUGGGCAGUCUCGAAAACUGUUGUGCGGGCGACCGUACCGUGGGUUCGAAUCCCACACUCUCCG